rnacentral:lncRNA from 1 species
AUGGUCAUUUCUUUUACUUCUUCUUCCGUUUCUAUGGUGAGGACCGUUCAGGGUCCGGGCGGAAGUGAUCUUCUGCGACCUUCCGCUCGGUGGCCGGCGUGGUGUCCCGCUUUUCUAAUUCCUCCCGGGGUUCCUGGGCUUUUGAGCGCAAACGAAGCACAAGGAAAGCUGCAUUGUCGUUUCCAAGAGGGAGUGCCAUGUCGGGCCGAGAAGGUGGAAAGAAGAAACCUUUAAAACAGCCCAAGAAGCAAUCAAAAGAACUAGAUGAGGAAGACCGAGCUUUCAAGCAAAAACAGAAGGAGGAGCAGAAGAAAUUGGAUGAGUUGAAGGCAAAAGCCUCUGGAAAGGGUCCACUUAGUAAGUGGCUUUCUCUUAAAGUUCACACAAAUGAAGAACUGUUUUCAGCAUAAUGUUUGUCAUGCAGAUACAAAUUAAGAGGUUGGGAAAACAUGGCUCAUGGUUUGUCCUGAAUUGAGAGACCAAAUAGUUUUUCAUGGUAUUUGCAGCUUUGAAAAGUCAGCGCUUAAAUCAGCCAUUUUAUUUUGAAGAAAUACACUUGUGGGUUCUGAUGUGACUUGUGCUCCAAAUCCAGAUUGGGCCCUGCACUUAGUUCCUAUUGGAAACUUCUGUAUACGUCUCUCUUCAGUGCUGUUUAACCUUAAAGGUGCCAUUGCAGUGAAUAGCACACACUGUUGUUUUGCUCACAUUCUGAGGCUUGGCUAUUUCCAUAAACAAUAUAUAUUCUCUAUCAGCGUUCAGACACAGACAUAUUUAUGUGCAUAUACAGAGUGGCAGGUCCUCUUUCUCAUAUUUUCUAAUUAUUUUUCUGAUCUCACUUGUUUGCUGUCAGGCUUAUGGAGAUAUCUGCAAAAAUUGGAAAAUUCUUAACCUAAGGACAAGCCAAAUGAAAUGUCAUUAUGAAAUGUCACCGUUUGUAGCCUGCAUAAUUAAAUUAUAAACGGCCCAGAGAGUGCUUUAAGUGCUGUGCAGCGGUAUAGAAGCAAUGUGCUUUAUCACUGCUGCCCAGAGAGUGCUUUAAGUGCUGGUAUAGAAGCAAUGUGCUUUAUCACUGCUCACAGUGAACGGCUCCCUACCAGUUGUACUUGCAUGAAGGCAUUUGAUUUAUGUCCAUCAUGCCAUCAGAUAUGUCAUUAGAUCCCGGUACGUGUUCCCAGCACCAUCUUUAUCUUGAUUGUUAAUGCUAAUAUAAAGGUGAAGAUUCUGUAGCUUUUCUGGGAGUUAAAAAUGGUUUGGCAUAAUUGUAGAUCAUAGGAAGGCAGUAUUUUGCAGUCUGGAUGCCAGUAAGGCCCCCGUAGUCUGGAAGGAUGUGCUCACACACCGCCUGCUGCCAUGUGCUACUAGUUAAAAAGCUGCAAGUUACUUUUAGAUUAAAAAAGGCCUUUGGGGAGUGUUUACCUUGUUUUAAAGGACAAUCAUACUCCUCAUCAAGGAAUUUUCCUUUAUUGAACCUUAACAAAUCCUGGACUGAGAAAUGUGAUGCCAGGUUUUUGCCUCCAGUACAACAUCUUCAUGGUUUUCCUUGACAUAAACUAAUUGUGGCCUCUCUUCUCUUGCAGCUGGAGGUGGGAUUAAGAAGUCUGGCAAAAAGUAGCAGGUUUGGCCAGUACUAUGUUGCAAGAAGGAAGAAACAUUUUGCUCCCCUCAAAUGCUUAGCCGAAGGAUGUGUUUCCAGGCUAAAGCCGUUGGAAACAUUGCUUUGAGCACCUUUGUGUAUUUUGUUCAGACAAAAUAAAUGUGAUGUGUGUGGUCUUUGUUAAUGACUU